GAUAAUCGAAUCGAGACAGGUGCCCCUGCCAUUCAGGGGAUAAUCGAGAAGUAUGGUACGGCCGUGUUUUGGCCAAUCCCAUCGCUGCCCCCGCAACGGUAAUGAAUGAGUAGCUUGCAGAGACCACUGGCCCCGGCCGGGAAGGUGCAGGCGACUGCGUUUCUCCACUGGAAACGCGCUCAUCGAGCCCGGAGACCGGCCUGUCACACUGAUCCAUC
rnacentral:ncRNA from 1 species